rnacentral:miRNA from 1 species
GAUCACCAUCUCACUGCUUCCA